AAAAUCCGUCGACUUUAUAAGUCGUGAGGGUUCAAGUCCUUCCAUCCCACA
rnacentral:tRNA from 1 species